GACGAACGCUGGCGGCGUGCCUAAUACAUGCAAGUUGAGCGCUGAAGGUUGGUACUUGUACCAACUGGAUGAGCAACGAACGGGUGAGUAACGCGUGGGGAAUCUGCCUUUGAGCGGGGGACAACAUUUGGAAACGAAUGCUAAUACCGCAUAAAAACUUUAAACACAAGUUUUAAGUUUGAAAGAUGCAAUUGCAUCACUCAAAGAUGAUCCCGCGUUGUAUUAGCUAGUUGGUGAGGUAAAGGCUCACCAAGGCGAUGAUACAUAGCCGACCUGAGAGGGUGAUCGGCCACAUUGGGACUGAGACACGGCCCAAACUCCUACGGGAGGCAGCAGUAGGGAAUCUUCGGCAAUGGACGAAAGUCUGACCGAGCAACGCCGCGUGAGUGAAGAAGGUUUUCGGAUCGUAAAACUCUGUUGGUAGAGAAGAACGUUGGUGAGAGUGGAAAGCUCAUCAAGUGACGGUAACUACCCAGAAAGGGACGGCUAACUACGUG
rnacentral:rRNA from 1 species